UACUAAAGUUGUUGCGGUUAAAAAGCUCGUAGUUGAAAUUGUGUCCUGCGGUGUCGGUCUACCGAAUGCGGUACGACAGGCACGUCUGCGGGGCUUCUCGCCGGUGCGUCCACCGCCGGUGUGUGUCGGUCGUUCCAACGGUUCGGCCGCGCGCCGAGGCGGGCCGUCGCGGCUGUUUACUUUGAACAAAUUAGAGUGCUCAAAGCGGGCUAACACUUGCCUGAAUAUUGUACGCAUGGAAUAAUAGAAUAGGACCUCGGUUCUGUUUUGUUGGCUUUCUGAUACCAGAGGUAAUGAUUAAUAGGGACAACUGGGGGCAUUCGUAUUGCGACGUUAGAGGUGAAAUUCUUGGAUCGUCGCAAGACGGACUAAAGCGAAAGCAUUUGCCAAAGGUGUUUUCAUUAAUCAAGAACGAAAGUUAGAGGUUCGAAGGCGAUUAGAUACCGCUGUAGUUCUAACCAUAAAUGAUGCCAGCCAGCGAUCCGCCGAAGUUUCAUAAUUUUAACCCGGUGGGCAGCUCCCGGGAAACCAAAGCUUUC
rnacentral:rRNA from 1 species